GAGAGAGAGACGAUCCGAGUCAUCCUUAAAUAUGGGCAGGAUAUCAGUCUUGGACUGUCUAACCUGCCGGAGCAGCACUGAAUGAUCACCACACAUGAGCAUGUUCCUGCAACAUUCAGCAUCUGAUCUGCCAUCUGUGUGCUUCUGCUUUUGUGUCAAAUGUCAAACAGCUGGAGAGGAAACUACACCAGUGUACUGGGAUGUUUCACCAACACGUGCCAGACGCUGUUCCUUCAUGGUGACAUCACCAGAGACAGUCCCGCCCACCUCAGGACCUCUCCAUUGAUCAUGAUGAUUAUAAUAAUGACAGCGAGCGGAACUAAGACUGUAAAAAUCCAUGACCAGAAUGUUUAGAUGCUUUCUAAUUAUUAAUGAAUACUGAGAGUCUCUUUCUGUGUUUUGUCUGGGUUUUUUGUUUGUUUUUACCUCAUUUGUUACUAACAAAGUUCACCAAACUCACACAGUUUACAUUCUGUAUGCUUCCAUCUUUACCAGCCACACUCUUAACU